rnacentral:lncRNA from 1 species
GGAAGUUUGCCUUUAUGCUUGUUCACCGCAGAGGAAGCAAGUUUUUGCCACUGGCAAAAGGAAAGUGCUACGAGGGUGCGUGUUGGUCAAACCUGUUGCAGUCGGUUGAAAGGACGGCCCAUGUUGGUACCUUUUUGGCAUAUGGCUGCUCUUCUGUUCUAACUGAUGGUGCCUGCUCCAUGAAGGUCGACAACGCAGUCAUCCUACACGCCAAAGGUUUUAUGGUGGAGCUCACAAAGGACAUUGCGGAGAAGACUGGUGCACCAAAGGCUGAAAUGGAUUUCGGAUAAAAACGUCAUGUCGAUUGUUUUCCUCCAGGAAAAAAAAGCAUGAAAAUGAAAGCAAAGAAACACCUACAUCCCGAAGGAAUAACAGCAUUCCAUAAUUGCUGUAUUCACGUUCAUUAGUUUCAUACACCAGGAACUUAGCAGAUGUUCAUGAGGGAUGGAAGAGUCACUGCUAGAAAGUUGUGACCGACUGAUUGAAAAUAUAGAGGGGAUGAUGGCUGUACCAUGUGGUCAUAAUUCCGAGUCACAAUUUACAAACAAUGAUAAUGAUUGUAACUCCACAUGCAUGAAUGCCGGUGGGCAGCUGGACCUCCAAAAUUUUGAGGUCGACGCUCCGAUAGUCAGCUCUACAGCCGACGAUCAGAUGAACCAGCAUCAGAAAAAGGAAGAUUUAAAGGACAGCAACAGUGAUAGUAGAGCUCGACAGGUCCUAACAAGUUGGGACGUACCGAAGACCGUGCAGUCGGACUUGGAACCUUCACUUUCAGGGGAAAGUUCCACUAGUUCUGUUGUUGAUGCGAACGUACAGUGGAAGAAUAAGCCCAUUGAAGACAUCACGAGGAGGCAAGAUGAUUGCAAAGCUGAAUGCUCAAUCAACAGCCGAGAGUUGAAAGAAUUCUUCACUCAAGCAAAUGGUGUCAGGAUGACAUUUACAAAAUCUCCAUCUGUAUGCAAAGUGGAUAAAGUCUGUUUAUAUGUACGUCACAGGGUCUUUGGUGAGCAUAAUUUAGUCAGAUGUGUCAUGAGGCUGAUUGCGGGGUCAGGACUUUACAAUGACCUGAGGCUUCAUUUUAUUUCUCCAGGUAUUGCCCGAAUGGAAGGACAGGAUCUUUGUGGCAUAUACAUCCCUGAAGGCCUUCCACAAGGUCAGCAAAUCUCAAUGUUCCAAAGUGCAGCUUUGUUCCGCACUCAUGGUUUUUAUUGUGAAAAUGUUUCCUCGAGAGAUAGUUAUGAUUCCAUUUCUGAAGAAGAUGUUCAACAAUCAACAAGGCAAGAAAACCUGAAAAUUUCUCUUUGGAGCCCCAGCCAGACGUUGUACAGCGGAAUAUGCAAUAUCAUUACAGUACCAAACACAAACCCCAAUGACAUCACUAAACUUUUCAGCAAUGUCCUUCAUCAUGUUCAGCUGCAGAAUACAUCGCAACAAACCCUCGAGCUUUGGACGGAAUCAUCCCCGACAACUACAACUGAGGAGGGAUUUCUCACAGAACUACCAAAUGAUCCCACGCGUAAAACCCAAUCAAACAUUCAGGAGUAUGAGCAUCUGCAGAAGUCCUGCAGGCUAGUCGGCCCUUCUUGGGAAGGAUCACCGUCCACCGAUCUCCCUGCUCAACAGUUUCACCUCAUCUAUUCGUUCCAGUCAUCAGAUCAACAGCUUCAGUGGUCGUCCAUUGGUGAGAACCCUGGUCUUCCAUCAAACGAUGAUGUCCGCAGUCGUCGAGUUUGCAAACUCCGUCGCCGCAAUGCCGUGAGAUUUCCAUCAGCUUCCCAUGUGAUUCAGCUCAGGAACAACCGACUGCAAGAAUCAAGGAACUGUGCUCAGAGCCAUGCGACCCAUGUGGAGGUGUGCAGAAAUGCAUUCUCUCAGUGCCUGCACUGCAAACUUCAGGAAAUGUGGGAUAGCAUCGUGCAGGUGCAGAGGGAACUACUGAAGACCUGGCGAUCUAACGUAACACUUCAGGCUGAGCUGCAGCUCCAGCGAAGAAAGAACCGGCAAAUACGAGAGGCUCGCAAAGCCGCUUACCGAAGCACACUUUGCUUCCAUUCAUGGCUGCAGUCACGACCACCACCACACACACCACGGUGAACUGGCUGUCUAUUUAAAUCCACACCGAGGGGUGACCGCACCAUCAUUUCCGAAACAUAUGUCUCGACACUCUUAAGCAGCAUAAACAUUGGCCAGCGGUAUUAUUUAGAGCCUGGUGUUAGCUUCACAAUUAAGGUGGCUAGCCUGGGACCUAAGGGUCCUAAGUUUGAGCCCCUGAUAUAUAACCGUUGAAUUAACACCAGUUGGGGUUGACUCAGCCUGUCAUCCUUCCGAGGUCGGCGAAAUGAGUACCGGUGUAUUUUGGUUAUAACCAUUCCAGGAACCUGUGUCGGAGUGGCGACCCGUCCAGAACUGUAUUCUUUGCCAAUGAAACUGCCUCAGCAGCCCGAAAUGCCUUUCUGGCAUGAAAAGGAAUGGUAUUAUUGCAGCCUAAUGGGCCACUUGGCCUGAAGAGGAUAGAUGAUGAUGAGAUUUUUAAGAGAGGUUCCAAAGCUGACAGAUUGAUUGAAGGUCCACUUUGGUUGUGGAUAUGUGGAUGUUAAAGGAUUAACUAUUUGCACUAUUAUGGCAGGGUAUAAGUUGAUCAUGGUGUUGGUGUAUGUGAUAAUAUGAGGCAGUCGUGUCACAUGAAAUAAAAGAAACAAGGCUGAAGUGACAUGAAAAGGUUGAAAUGUCAGUUUCAAUAGUAGCUGCACAAUAUGUAACCCUAAAACUGACUUUCAGUCUACUUUCUUGGACUGUCUUCUGGAAUAUCAGUUAAUCUGCACUAAAAUAAAUUAAUGUUCUUUUUUUUUAAAGAAUCCAUGAGCUUUUAUUUGUGCUGUACAGGGUAAAAAUUGGUGUUUUAUUUCCAAAAUUCUUUUUAAAAAUUUAUGGGGGAUUCACCCAUCACAAAGUCAAAGUUCCACUCAAACGUGGAGACUGCAAAAAUAAAUUGUGGGAAAGGGAAUCACUGGGAAAGGAGAUACCUAUUCACAUCUCUUUUAAACUGAGAAAGGUUGUAUGUUGCUGGGAAACAGGAUGCAGGAAGGGAAUUCCAGAGUUUGGAAGUGCGUGGGAACAAAAUGGAGAAAUAGCUUACUGUGUUGACCCUGGGAACACAGACAAUGUGGGGGUGUGCAAAGGCUGCCAACGUGUACAGACAGUCUUUGAAAGCAUGUAAAGAAGGGACAAGUAGUAAAAGGCCCUUUGAGCAUCUUCCAUAAUAGUACCUGCAGAAGAGACACAGAGAAGCCACAGAACGUCGAACCGAGAGAGGUUCCAGAGAUGAUGUUAUACAAUGGCCUACCAGGUUAACAGCUCGUUGUUUUAUUCUGUCAAGAAGGGACAUAAGAUGAGUCUGACCACCACACAGAUGUGGCUAAAGUAUUCUAUGACUGGAUGUUUGGUGGUCUUGUACAGGUAGAGCGAAGCCUUGGGAGGGAGGUAUCGGUGAGUCCGAUCCAAGCAACCAAGUCACUGGAGAUUAUUUUGGCAAUGCCAGAAAAGUACUUAUUCCAACCAAGGUAAGAGGUGAUGUCCAGACUAAGAAUACAGAUGCCAUCGUGUUCUUGCAAUGCUGUUUGGUCCAUAACCAGGUUAUGACAGGAGGGGGAUCUUGACCUAGACACGGAUGGCAGGUGGGUCUUCUUUUGGUUGAUGGUGAUGAGCCAGUCUUUUUGCCAGUUACUGACAUUGUUAAGUUCCCUAUUUAGAUUGACACUGGCUUAAAGGUGGAGUGAUGCAGUCAGGAAGCCAGGAUAAGUAAGGUGUAUAUGGUUGAGUCAUCAGUAUAAAUGGCUAGCUGAGAUGAAAUGUUGUUUGGCAGCUCAUUUAUGUGAAGAAAAAAUAAAAAUCAUAGAAGGCCCCAAACACAAUGCCCUACAUUCAUGUUAUCGGCUGCAGAAGAUUGACCCUCAUGCUGAACAAAAAAUUGGUGAUCUGUGUUAAAAUCUGAGAUUAUUGCAAGCAAAGGCCUAAAUAUACCAAAAAAAGAAAAUUUACCUUGUGAGUGAGACCCUAAUUACACCAAACUUUUUCAAAAGCCUUAGUGGUGCCAAGGGCUACAAGUCUGGCCUUGCCACACCAGUCUAGGGCAUGAUUCAUGUGUUCAGACUCAGGGUGC